rnacentral:rRNA from 1 species
UCUACGCCGUAAACGAUGGAUACUAGCUGUUCGACCGCAAGGUUGAGUGGCUAAGCGAAAGUGAUAAGUAUCCCAUCUGGGGAGUACGUUCGCAAGAAUGAAACUCAAAGGAAUUGACGGGGGCCCGCACAAGCGGUGGAGCAUGUGGUUUAAUUCGAUGAUACGCGAGGAACCUUACCAGGGCUUAAAUGUAGAUUGCAUAGAGUGGAGACAUUCUUUUCUUCGGACUAUCU